CAGCGGGGUAACCCGGAGAAAUCCGGCCUAAUACCGCAUGUGGCCGAGGGAAGGCAUCUUCUUUCGGCCAAAGGAGGCGACUCCGGAGACGGAUGGGCAUGCGUGACAUUAGCUUGUUGGCGGGGUAACGGCCCACCAAGGCGACGAUGUCUAGGGGUUCUGAGAGGAAGGUCCCCCACACUGGUACUGAGACACGGACCAGACUCCUACGGGAGGCAGCAGUGAGGAAUAUUGGUCAAUGGGCGAGAGCCUGAACCAGCCAAGUCGCGUGAAGGAUGACGGCCCUACGGGUUGUAAACUUCUUUUGUCAGGGAGCAAUUGGGUCCACGUGUGGGCUUAGCGAGAGUACCUGAAGAAAAAGCAUCGGCUAACUCCGUGCCAGCAGCCGCGGUAAUACGGAGGAUGCGAGCGUUAUCCGGAUUUAUUGGGUUUAAAGGGUGCGUAGGCGGAAUAUCAAGUCAGCGGUAAAAAUUCGGGGCUCAACCCCGUCGUGCCGUUGAAACUGAUGUUCUUGAGUGGGCGAGAAGUAUGCGGAAUGCGUGGUGUAGCGGUGAAAUGCAUAGAUAUCACGCAGAACUCCGAUUGCGAAGGCAGCAUACCGGCGCCCAACUGACGCUGAAGCACGAAAGCGUGGGUAUCGAACAGGAUUAGAUACCCUGGUAGUCCACGCAGUAAACGAUGAAUGCUAAUUGUCCGGAGGGAUUGACCUCUGGGUGAUACAG
rnacentral:rRNA from 1 species